UACUGGGAUCAACAUCUUCAGUGUCCUGCAACUUUUAGGGAUUUCUUUUAGUUUUUUUUUCUGAAAUAUUUCUCCUUUUAUGUUCUUCAGCUGAAAAUUGUUGUGUGUACCUGUUGCAGAUUCAUGUUGUAGAACAGGUUUGUGUCCGAGGGAUUAGAUUCUCCUCCACCAUCUUCGCUUUGCUGCCUCUUCAUGAUGCAAGUCUAGCUCCGAUGUCUGCAAGGUAGGUUUAAUGAUUUUUAGUGCAUUUCCUUCACCAUUUGUUUGUAAUAGUUAUUCAGUUGUUGUUUUCCUUACAUUGUUAUCUCCUGUUGUGAUGAAACUGUCCUCUACUUUGCUCCUGUAGUUUUCCUCCUUAGAUUCCCCAAUGUUCGUAGAUCCAUCUCUGGAUUGGAAUGUACCUCAAGGUUCAUCACCAGUUUAACUUUAAGACAUUUAGGUUUUUUUGCAGCAGUUAAUUGAGAUUUUUGAUUUUAUACCUUGUAUAUAAUGUCAGAAUGAAGGAGUGCAGUGAAAGAAAAUGAUUCUUGCAUCAUAAUUUUGGUUAGCCUUUUACCUUUUUAUGUAUUUUAAUCAUCUUCGCAAAGUUUUAGGUACUGUAUCUCACAUUUAAUAUGAGUUCUUCCCGUGUCAAUCUCAGUAGAUCCUCUUCAUUACUGUCCUCAUCAUGCUCCUCUCGUGACACAUUUUAAAAAGUAGAAUGUCAGUGCUAGCAUAAUCAUCAACAACAAAGCUUAUAGAAAUAGAUGAAAGCAGAAUGUCUGUGUUAGCAUAAUCGCAAUCAUGCUUGAAUGCAUUCUGUAGGUUGUAUUUUGCGCUUACAGUGUAAUAACUAGGUACUUACAGUGUAAAUACUUUAGUUUUCUUGAGUUUUUUACAUUUGGAAAUUGCUAGGUACUUACAGUGUAAUUACUUUAGUUUUCUUGAUUUUACAGUGUAAUUAUUUGGGUGUUUACGGUGUAAUUGUCUUUUGUCUCCAUGUUUACACCGUCUUUUGCACUGUAAUUUUCUAUGAUUUACACUGUAAUAUUCUAGGAUUUACUGGGUUUAAUUUGCACUGUAAUUGCAGUGUAAUUACACUGUAAUUUUCUAGGAUUUACAGUCGAAAUCCCCUCUAAAUUAAAGUAAACUACACCAGUUUUCACUGUAAUUUUCUAGGAUUUACAAUGGAAUUUUUACACAGUACCUUUAGUUUACACUGGAAUUUACUAGGUAUUUACAGUGUUAUUGUCUUUUGUCUUCAUGCUUACACCGGUUUUUUCACUGUAACUUUCUAUGAUUUACAUUGUAAUUUUCUAGGAUUUACUGGGUUUAAUUUACACUUUAAUUGCAGUUAAUUUCCUAGGAUUUACAGUGGAAUUUUUACUAGGUGGCAUGAUUUAAUUCACACUGGAAUUUACAGGGUUUACAGUGUAAUCUCUUGUUUACACCGGGUUUUGCACUGUAAUUCUCUAUGAUUUACACUGUCAUUUGCUAGGAUUUACAGACUAGGCACCUACAGUUUAAUUUGCUCUGGAAUUUACUGGGUAUUUACAGUGUAAUUGCAUCUUUUGUCUACAUUUUUCACUGGUUUUUGCACUGUAAAUUUCUAGGAUCCGCACUGUAAUUUUCCAGGAUUUACUGGCAGUGUAAUUACCAGCAGUUACAGUUUGGAAUUUAUGGUGAAUAUACACUUGAAAUUGUAGGUAUUUUGUGUUUUACAAGUAUAGUUACAUGGGGAUUUACACUGGAAAUUACUAGGAUCCUACACUGUAUGUUUUCUGAAAUUUUUACUAUCUUUCCCAUGUUAAUUCCUUGUUGAUGUCUCUUUAUGUUUUUUCCCAGAAUUAUAGCUGAUGUUGAUCUCUCUGUUUGUAGAUGAAGCAAUUUCUUUGUGAUUUGUUCAAGCAAGAGGUGAAGAGGGGUUUGCCCUUUGCGUGCGUUCCAGUGUAGGCAUGUGAUGUGUCGUCCUGGAGAUCAGGCGGAUGCUGGCCCCUGAUUUUCUGGAGGGGUUUGUUGUCCAGGACGAACCGGGUCAAAUGUUUAGCCCAACCUGUUUAGGCGUUCUUUUUGUUAUCUGUUCAUAUUUCUGCUAUUUACAGGUGCCAGCUGUUGAUUGGUGAGGGUAUUUGAUUGUUUUCGAAUUGAAAAACAAUCAAAUGUCAAAUAGACAG
rnacentral:lncRNA from 1 species